UUCAUAAUUUUUGUUCAUUAGCGUAAAGAAAUUUUAAAUAUUAAUAUGUCGCAAAAUUAAAAUGUAAGCACGAACAAAGUAUUAAUUUUACUAACUUAUUCGACAUGGCGUGCAUGAGAACAUAUAAAAGAUGAGGCACUGACCAGAAUCAGUCUCCAAAAUGAAUAUCGGUUGCUUUGGUUGUUUUGCUGGCCACCGGCCCACUAUUCAUUUACUCUGCUGAAUCCAAUUCAUUAGAUGAAGUAUGUGCUAGAAGGGAGGGAAUAACUGAAGAGCUCCUGACUAAACAUCCCAGCGACAUGAAAGUCAAGUGUUUCUAUUUAUGUCACUUUGAAAAGACAAAAGUAAUUGCCAACGGCAGAAUCGAAAUAACUGGAAUCGACAAUGCAAAACCCUGUCUAAAACUAAAGGAUAACAACAAAUGUGAUCUAGCCUAUAACGUAAUUGCUUAAGAAAUAACUUGAACGAGAUGGAAUGGCACAAAGUAUAUUUAUAUUAUCAGUAAAUAGAUACCACUGAAAUUGUGUUGUUCAUGUAAUAAAAUGAUAAACUUGA